AAAUAUCGAACACGUCACUGCCUCUUAGGGGCUCUUAAACCCUUUUGUUAAGAAGUUCAUCUUAGAAGUUGGACUAAGAAGUCCCAGUAAACAUGUUCUAAGGGCAUCUUUAUCGGGACCUCUUAGUAUAAAUUCUUAGGUUUAAUCUGAAUAAAAUUAAAUCAAAAUUAGGUAUAUUAUUAAGAAGAGCUUCUUAAAUAGGAAGUUUAAGAGUCCAUAACAGACGUCGACGUGUUCAGUAAUUGUUGGGUGAUGCGUUUAAUAUAAAAGGAAUUAUUUUCUUCUCUUCUUCUUCUUCGUUCCGUCUCUCUUCUCUCUCUUUCUUGAAGGCUCCGACAACGAAAGCAAACCCAGAAAGUACAAUCCGUCGAACUGAGAGGAGAUAUGAGACGGAAAUUUAUCUCUCGUCGUCGUGUUAAUCAUCUCCACCGACGCUGACACCAUCAACGAUUUCAGUUCAUCAAAUCAGAACCAUGUCGGUUCACCAAAUCGGAGAUUCAAGUGGCCAAAAUUGGACAGUUUGGUUCAAUGAUGCUCUGGUCUCGGCUGCAUAUAUUGAUGAAUCUGUGAGAUGCAAAUUUCGACUGCAUAAAUGACAAGUUUUGAGAGUGUGUAUUAAGUUAACUUGAGAGUCAAAAUAUUUUAUACAUAUGAGUGAUUUUCAAACUUUCAGUUUUAAGAACUCCACCAUUGGAGUAUGUUUUUUUAAAAAACAUUCAUGAGUUUCUUAGAAUUUGAUUUAGCUAUAUUUCUAUCAUAAAUAUGGUUAAAACUCCAUGUGAAGUUCUUAACCGUUAAAGAUGGUCUAAUAAGGCUAUCUGACACCGAAAGUUCUAAAUUAAUAAUGUACAUAUCACUACAUUAAUUGAGUGGAUAAUCCACUAGUACUACUUAUUAGAGCAAAUUCUCAUAUAAUUGUGUAUCUUGAUAAAUCAUUGUCAACAAAAUUAAAAAUUCUUUUGUUUUACUAUAUAUUAGUAUAUUUGCAUUGUAAUUUUUAUAUAUUGACAAAAAGUUUUACAACGUGGUA